rnacentral:rRNA from 1 species
AGUUCUUAGCAGUGGGUCACUCGGCUUGUGCGUCGAUGAAGAAUGCAGCUAGCUGUGAGAACUCAUGUGAAUUGCAGGACACAUUGACCAUCCACACUUCAAAUGCAAAACAAGCUGGACGACCUGGUUUGCUGAGAGAAA